UAGAAGGCCUGGGAAAGAGGCAUGUC
rnacentral:piRNA from 1 species